rnacentral:snRNA from 1 species
GGAUGUGAGGGCCAUCUGGCUGUGACAUCUGUCACCCCAUUGAUCGCCAGGGUUGAUUCUGCUGAUCUGGCUGGCUAGGCGGGUGUCCCCUUCCUCCUCACCGCUCCACGUGCGUCCCUCCCGAAGCUGUGCGCUCAGUGGAAGAGGAUGACCUUCCCGGAUAGAGGAGGACUGUUCUUCGGUCAAGGGUAUAAGAGUAGCUGCACUCCCCUGCUAGAACCUCCAAGCAAGCUCUCAAGGUCCUAUGUAUGUUUUGCUGUGCAGAUUAAAAAAAAAACAAAAACAAAAAAAACCCUGAAUUCAAUUAAUUUUCUUUU